GACGAACUGUCCUAACGUUGUUCGGAAUCACUGGGCGUAAAGCGCACGUAGGCGGCUUGUUAAGUCAGGGGUGAAAUCCUGGAGCUCAACUCCAGAACUGCCUUUGAUACUGGCGAGCUUGAGUCCGGGAGAGGUGAGUGGAACUGCGAGUGUAGAGGUGAAAUUCGUAGAUAUUCGCAAGAACACCAGUGGCGAAGGCGGCUCACUGGCCCGGUACUGACGCUGAGGUGCGAAAGCGUGGGGAGCGAACAGG
rnacentral:rRNA from 1 species